GCUUACGGCCAUACCAGCCUGAAUACGCCCGAUCGUCUGAUCUCGGAAGCUAAGCAGGGUCGGGCCUGGUUAGUACUUGGAUGGGAGACCGCCUGGGAAUACCAGGUGCUGUAAGCU
rnacentral:rRNA from 1 species